rnacentral:rRNA from 1 species
GACGAACGCUGGCGGCGUGCCUAAUACAUGCAAGUAGAACGCACAGUUUAUACCGUAGCUUGCUACACCAUAAACUGUGAGUUGCGAACGGGUGAGUAACGCGUAGGUAACCUGCCUGGUAGCGGGGGAUAACUAUUGGACACGAUAGCUAAUACCGCAUAAUAUUGAUUAUUGCAUGAUAAUUGAUUGAAAGAUGCUAUUGCAUCACUACCAGAUGGACCUGCGUUGUAUUAGCUAGUAGGUGAGGUAACGGCUCACCUAGGCGACGAUACAUAGCCGACCUGAGAGGGUGAUCGGCCACACUGGGACUGGGACACGGCCCAGGCUCCUACGGGAGGCAGCAGUAGGGAAUCUUCGGCAAUGGACGAAAGUCUGACCGAGCAACGCCGCGUGAGUGAAGAAGGUUGUCGGAUCGUAAAGCUCUGUUGUAAGGGAAGAACGGGUGUGAGAGUGGAAAGUUCACACUGUGACGGUAUCUUACCAGAAAGGGACGGCUAACUACGUG